rnacentral:rRNA from 1 species
AUACAGAGGGUGCGAGCGUUAAUCGGAAUUACUGGGCGUAAAGCGCGCGUAGGCGGCUACUUAAGUCAGAUGUGAAAUCCCCGGGCUCAACCUGGGAACUGCAUCUGAUACUGGGUAGCUAGAGUUUUGGAGAGGGAAGUAGAAUUUCAGGUGUAGCGGUGAGAUGCAUAGAGAUCUGAAGGAAUACCAGUGGCGAAGGCGACUUCCUGGCCAAAUACUGACGCUGAGGUGCGAAAGCGUGGGUAGCAAACGGGAUUAGAUACCCCAGUGUCC